CUAAGCCAUGCAAGUCUACUCUUGGACUUCCAAGGGUGGCACACUGCUGAGUAACACGUAGUCAACCUGCCCCAAGGAGGGGGAUAACCUCGGGAAACUGAGGCUAACACCACAUAGGCCAUCUAUGCUGGAAUGCUUGAUUGCCCAAAAGGCCGGCGAAUUGGAGCCGGUCCGCCUUGGGAUGGGACUGCGGGGGAUUAUGGUAGUUGGUAGGGUAACGGCCUACCAAGCCGAUAAUCUCUAGGGGCCAUGAGAGUGGUGGCCCCCAGAAGGGCACUGAGACAAGGGCCCUAGUCCUACGGGAUGCAGCAGGCGCGAAACCUCUGCAAUGCGCGAAAGCGUGACAGGGGAACUCCGAGUGACGGAAACUUAGUUUCCGCCUUUUGCCAAGUGUAAACAGCUUGGAGAAUAAGGGUGUGGGCAAGACUGGUGGCAGCCGCCGCGGUAACACCAGCGCCUCAAGUGGUACCCACGUAUACUGGGCCUAGAGCGUCCGUAGCCGGCCUGAUAAGUCUUCUGUGAAAUAGUGGGGCUCAACUCCACUGCGCGCAGGAGAUACUGCCGGGCUUGGGAGCGGGGGAGGUAAGGGGUACACCUAGGGUAGGGGUAAAAUCCGUUGAGCCUAGGUGGACCACCAGUGGCGAAGGCGCCCGGCCAAAACGUGUCCGACGGUGAGGGACGAAAGCUGGGGGAGCGAACGGGAUUAGAUACCCCGGUAGUCCCAGCUGUAAAUGAUGCAGACUGUGGUGUUGCGCCAGAUUUAAUCUGUCGCAGUGCUGUAGCGUAGGUGUUAAGUCUGCCGCCUGGGGAGUACGACCGCAAGGUUGAAACUUAAAGGAAUUGGCGGGGGAGCACCACAAGCCGUGGAUGCUACGGUUCAAUUGGAUACAACGCCGUGAACCUCACCCGGUGCGACGGCAGUAUGAAGGCCAGACUGAAGAUCUUGCCUGACGAGCCGAGAGGUGUUGCAUGGCCAUCGUCAGCUCGUGGUGUGAACUGUCCGGUUAAGUCCGGCAACGAGCGAGACCCAUGCGUUUAGUUGCUACCUCUGCCUUUAGCAGGGGGCACUCUAAACGGACUGCCCGCGUUAAGUGGGAGGAAGGAGUGGGCGACGGUAGGUCAGUAUGGCCCGAAUCACCGGGGCUACACGCGGCAUACAAUGGGUGGAACAAUGGGUUGCUACUCCGAGAGGAGGCGCUAAUCCCCUAAAUCCAUCCCUAGUUCGGAUCGAGGGUUGCAACUCACCCUCGUGAAGCUGGAAUGGCUAGUAAUCGCGUGUCAUCAUCACGCGGUGAAUAAGUCCCCGCUCCUUGCACACACCGCCCGUCAAGUCAUCCAAAUGUGAUGUAGGUGAGAUUCUGGUUCUUGCCAGGCUCGAACCUAUGUUGCGUGAGGAGGGCUAAGUCGUAACAAGGUAUCCGUAGGGGAACCUGCGGAUAGAUCACCUCCAAA
rnacentral:rRNA from 1 species